UAUCAUCUUCUCUUUUUUAGUAUGCUGAUUCAGUUAUUGGUGAUCUUUCCGUCGAUGAUCCGUCGAUGGAGCUCCUUCUAUAUAUCCACCAUGUUUGGCUGCUCGGCGACCCAUCCGGGCCGGCCAACUGCUUUGCCGUCGGGACACUAUGGACCGACGCAUAGGUGAGCUGCGUGAAUCCACCCAACACUGCUCCUCCGGCUAUUUAACCCGCCAUCGUCUAUGCAUUCACUGACCGCCUUUUUUGUUUACUUUCGUAUCGAGCGUGCGGAUACAGGGCGAUUCACACUAGACAUUCGUUGGUGGUUUGGAGAAGUGCGUCACUGUCGGCUGCGUGUACAAGGUCUCUGGUUUCCCGUUUGGGCUCCCCAUCCUUACUAUCGGACAUGUCAGUCUGCUCAUUGGAUUUCUCGUACAGGAAUGGCGGAGUUACGAACUCCUGGAAACACCGCACCCCAUUCCAAUCGGAAGCGUUUUAAUUGAUUUCGUUCUCGAAGCUGUGCUCCUUCAUUCGUCUGUCACCCUUUUUGGCAAGUGUUCCAUCUAUUCUUUUGCUCUUUUUUUACUCUCCCCUUUACUGGAUCCCCGCUGGCGAUGUGGAGAUGAUGAGGAGUUCUGAUUAACUCCAAUUACUAUUUCACCUGGUGUCAUCGUCGACAUUUUGUAGUCGGGGUUGUUUUUGCUUUUGAUCUCACGUUAACUUGGUUGCAUAUGUAAUUUCACAUAUGAGUCAAGCUACAUAUCAUCAUCCACUUGCAGAAUUAAUUUAAGUUUGUUGCAGUUUCAUGAUUUGAUCUGCAAUUUGGUUACUUAUGCAUAGACACAAUAUGUGUGUUCCAUGAGGAGUUCUCCAUUACUAUUGUCAGA
rnacentral:lncRNA from 1 species